rnacentral:rRNA from 1 species
GGGGGGGGGGGGGGGGGGGGGGGGGGGGGGGGGGGCGGGGGGGAGGGGCGGGGCGGGUGGCGGGCGGGGGCGUGGGGCGGGGGACCCUGGCCGGAGGGUCGGAGUAACUCCCCGAGGGGGGUGCUAAUGCCGGGUAAUGUCUUCGGACCACAGAUUUCUCGCCUUUGGAUGGGCCCGCGUUGGAUUAGCUAGUUGGUAGGGUAAAGGCCUACCAAGGCGACGAUCCAUAGCUGGUCUGAGAGGAUGAUCAGCCACACUGGGACUGAGACACGGCCCAGACUCCUACGGGAGGCAGCAGUGGGGAAUAUUGGACAAUGGGCGAAAGCCUGAUCCAGCAAUGCCGCGUGAGUGAUGAAGGGCUUAGGGUUGUAAAGCUCUUUUACCCGGGAUGAUAAUGACAGUACCGGGAGAAUAAGCUCCGGCUAACUCCGUG